GUUAUAGGAUCAAGCGACUAAGUGCAUAUGGUGGAUGCCUUGGCGAUCACAGGCGAUGAAGGACGUAGUAGCCUGCGAAAAGCUGCGGGGAGCUGGCAAACAAGCUUUGAUCCGCAGAUAUCCGAAUGGGGAAACCCACUGCGCAAGCAGUAUCCCUGACUGAAUACAUAGGUCAGUGGAAGCGAACCGGGUGAACUGAAACAUCUCAGUAGCUCGAGGAAAAGAAAUCAACCGAGAUUCCGAAAGUAGUGGCGAGCGAAAUCGGAAGAGCCUUCACGUUUUAGCAUGCAAGAUAGUCGAACGGAAUGGAAAGUCCGGCCGUAGCAGGUGAUAGCCCUGUAGACGAAAUUUUGUGUGUGGAACUAAGCGUGAGAAAAGUAGGGCGGGACACGUGAAAUCCUGUUUGAAGAUGGGGGGACCAUCCUCCAAGGCUAAAUACUCGUGAUCGACCGAUAGUGAACCAGUACCGUGAGGGAAAGGCGAAAAGAACCCCGGAAGGGGAGUGAAAUAGAUCCUGAAACCGUAUGCAUACAAACAGUAGGAGCCUCCUUGUGGGGUGACUGCGUACCUUUUGUAUAAUGGGUCAGCGACUUACAUUCAGUGGCAAGGUUAACCGAAUAGGGAAGCCGUAGCGAAAGCGAGUCCGAAUAGGGCGAUUCAGUCGCUGGGUGUAGACCCGAAACCAGAUGAUCUAUCCAUGGCCAGGUUGAAGGCACGGUAACACGUGCUGGAGGACCGAACCCACUAAUGUUGAAAAAUUAGGGGAUGAGCUGUGGAUAGGGGUGAAAGGCUAAACAAAUCUGGAAAUAGCUGGUUCUCUCCGAAAACUAUUUAGGUAGUGCCUCAAGUAUUACUGCGGGGGGUAGAGCACUGUUAUAGCUAGGGGGUCAUGGCGACUUACCAAACUAUGGCAAACUCCGAAUACCCGCAAGUACAGCUUGGGAGACAGAGCACCGGGUGCUAACGUCCGGACUCAAGAGGGAAACAACCCAGACCGCCAGCUAAGGUCCCAAAUUAUCGCUAAGUGGGAAACGAAGUGGGAAGGCAUAGACAGUCAGGAGGUUGGCUUAGAAGCAGCCAUCCUUUAAAGAAAGCGUAAUAGCUCACUGAUCGAGUCGUCCUGCGCGGAAGAUGUAACGGGGCUAAGCGAUAAACCGAAGCUGCGGGUGUGCACUUUGUGCACGCGGUAGGAGAGCGUUCUGUAAGCCUGCGAAGGUGGCUUGUAAAGGCUGCUGGAGGUAUCAGAAGUGCGAAUGCUGACAUGAG
rnacentral:rRNA from 1 species